rnacentral:rRNA from 1 species
UGCCGCGUGAAUGAUGAAGGUCUUAGGAUUGUAAAAUUCUUUCACCGGGGACGAUAAUGACGGUACCCGGAGAAGAAACCCCGGCUAACUUCGUGCCAGCACCCGCGGUAAUACAAAGGGGGCUAGCGUUGCUCGGAAUUACUGGGCGUAAAGGGAGCGUAGGCGGACAUUUAAGUCAGGGGUGAAAUCCCAGAGCUCAACUCUGGAACUGCCUUUGAUACUGGGUGUCUUGAGUGUGAUGGAGGUAGGUGGAACUCCAAGUGUGGAGGUGAAAUUCAUAGAUAUUCUGAAGAACACCACUGGCGAAGGCGACGUACAUGAUCAUUACUGACGCUGAGGUUCGAAAGCGUGGGGAGCAAACAGGAUUAGAUACCCUGGUAGUCCACGCCGUAAACGAUGAUUGCUAGUUGUUGGGAUGUUUACAUCUCGGUGACGCAGCUUACGCAUUAAGCAAUCCGCCUGGGGAGUACGGUCGCAAGAUUAAAACUCUAAGGAAUUGACGGGGGCCCGCACAAGCGGUGGAGCAUGUGGUUUGAUUCGAAACAACGCGGGAGAAACUUACCACCUUUUGACAUGCCCGGACCACCACAAAAAUGUGGCUCUCUCUUCACAGAC